CCUACGGGAGGCAGCAGUGGGGAAUAUUGCACAAUGGGGGAAACCCUGAUGCAGCGACGCCGCGUGAGUGAAGAAGUAAUUCGUUAUGUAAAGCUCUAUCAGCAGGGAAGAAAAUGACGGUACCUGAGUAAGAAGCCCCGGCUAACUACGUGCCAGCAGCCGCGGUAAUACGUAGGGGGCAAGCGUUAUCCGGAUUUACUGGGUGUAACGGGAGCGUAGACGGCAGUGCAAGUCUGGAGUGAAAGGCGGGGGCUCAACCCCCGGACGGCUCUGGAAACUGUACGGCUGGAGUGCAGGAGAGGUAAGUGGAAUUCCUAGUGUAGCGGUGAAAUGCGUAGAUAUUAGGAGGAACACCAGUGGCGAAGGCGGCUUACUGGACUGUAACUGACGUUGAGGCUCGAAAGCGUGGGGAGCAAACAGGAUUAGAUACCCCAGUAGUC
rnacentral:rRNA from 1 species